GAUGAACGCUGGCGGCGUGCCUAAUACAUGCAAGUAGAACGCUGAAGGAAGGAGCUUGCUCUUUCCGGAUGAGUUGCGAACGGGUGAGUAACGCGUAGGUAACCUGCCUGGUAGCGGGGGAUAACUAUUGGAAACGAUAGCUAAUACCGCAUAACAGUAGAUGUUGCAUGAUAUCUACUUAAAAGGUGCAAUUGCACCACUACCAGAUGGACCUGCGUUGUAUUAGCUAGUUGGUGAGGUAACGGCUCACCAAGGCGACGGUACAUAGCCGACCUGAGAGGGUGGUCGGCCACCCUGGGACUGAGACACGGCCCAGGCUCCUACGGGAUGCAGCAGUAGGGAAUCGUCGGCAAUGGACGGAAGUCUGACCGCGCAACGCCGCGUGAGGGGAGAAGGUUUUCGGCUCGUUAAGCUCUGUUGUAAGAGUAGAACGGGUUUGAGAGUGGAAAGUUCACACUGUGACGGUAUCUUACCAGAAAGGGACGGCUAACUACGUG
rnacentral:rRNA from 1 species